rnacentral:rRNA from 2 species
UGGAGAGUUUGAUCCUGGCUCAGGAUGAACGCUGGCGGCGUGCCUAAUACAUGCAAGUCGAACGCACAGCGAAAGGUGCUUGCACCUUUCAAGUGAGUGGCGAACGGGUGAGUAACACGUGGACAACCUGCCUCAAGGCUGGGGAUAACAUUUGGAAACAGAUGCUAAUACCGAAUAAAACUUAGUGUCGCAUGACACAAAGUUAAAAGGCGCUUCGGCGUCACCUAGAGAUGGAUCCGCGGUGCAUUAGUUAGUUGGUGGGGUAAAGGCCUACCAAGACAAUGAUGCAUAGCCGAGUUGAGAGACUGAUCGGCCACAUUGGGACUGAGACACGGCCCAAACUCCUACGGGAGGCUGCAGUAGGGAAUCUUCCACAAUGGGCGAAAGCCUGAUGGAGCAACGCCGCGUGUGUGAUGAAGGCUUUCGGGUCGUAAAGCACUGUUGUAUGGGAAGAACAGCUAGAAUAGGAAAUGAUUUUAGUUUGACGGUACCAUACCAGAAAGGGACGGCUAAAUACGUGCCAGCAGCCGCGGUA